rnacentral:rRNA from 1 species
UACGGGGGGGGCAAGCGUUGUUCGGAAUUACUGGGCGUAAAGGGCUCGUAGGUGGCCAACUAAGUCAGACGUGAAAUCCCCCGGCUUAACCGGGGAACUGCGUCUGAUACUGGAUGGCUUGAGUUCGGGAGAGGGAUGCGGAAUUCCAGGUGUAGCGGUGAAAUGCGUAGAUAUCUGGAGGAACACCGGUGGCGAAGGCGGCAUCCUGGACCGAUACUGACGCUGAGGAGCGAAAGCCAGGGGAGCAAACGGG